AACUCCUAUACUUAGUGGUUAACACCUGAAAUUAAGUUAGACUGAGUUCUAAACGCUGUGCUUUUUUUAACCAGCUUGCAGAGUGUGACCACAGUUACAAACCACAAACCCAAAACCAGCUCAGAAGAAAGUGAAGUAGUUAGCGUUCAGGAGCAAGAAGGGAUUAUGUCUUCAUUUGAAUUAGCAGCACAGUCUUCAAAAGCAAAUCAGGCAACAGCAGUGAAAAGUUUGCCUUCUUCACCAGAAUCGUCAUUGUCACCAGCUCCAUCUACACAGACACAGCUCACAGAAGGAUCACAUUUCAUGUGUGUAUAGUUACAGAGAACACUAAUGGCUUCUAUUGAAACAAUUCAUGCCUGAGAUGUAUGGACCUGACCUAUGAAAAGAAGAUAUUGUACAGUAUAUUUUAAAUCUAUGAAAUUCAUAGUUCUGAUGCUUUUGGCCACAGAGCAUCAUUUUAUCACUUCCUGGAAAAUGUUUAUUCCAAGAGAGCUUUAAAUGGCCCACAUGUACACUCAACAACCUUCAAAUUGUUCUCCUGAUACCAGCUUGCUGCUAUGAUUUCUGUGCACAUAAGAUAAAGGCUCUUUUUAAUGUGCAGCCUACAGUCAGAACUUUAUUUGAUAUUCUCCAGAAUUUAAUGUUCUUUUAAUUAUGGAUCAUACAAGUUUACUUUUUUGCUUCUUUUAGAUGCAUAACUCAGUUAAUUUUACAUAUCACCACUAAACCUUGUUUUACACUUUUAAAACAUUAAAAUUUAUUGUUUUAACAUUUUAUUUGUAAAAUUUUUAUAUAUAUAUAUACAUAUAGAUAUAUUUAAAAUGUGCCAUUUUUAUUAUUGCUUAGUAAAAUAUGUCCUGUUUCUGCUGUAAUUAUUUCUUGGUCAGGUUGCAAUGUCAGCAGUUACUGCCACACUUCUGUCAACAUAUACAUUAAUGUUAGUGGUUACUUUUUCUUAAAUAAAAUGGAGUGUAGGUAUUUUGAGGUACUGGGCUUUUCCUUCGUUGGGUUAGGGUGUGUACAGCAAUAAGCAGGUUUUCAAUCCAGUACUUAGUUUGUGUACAAAUGUAAUUAUGUUCAUUGUGUAUAUAUUAUACAAUGAGCACAUACGAUGUAAGUAUAAGAAGCCACUUACUAUUGUUCAAAUAUGAAUGUUCAUAUCCCAUUUC
rnacentral:lncRNA from 1 species